GCUGUUAGUGUUUCAAUUGGUUAACAUUUGUCAUUUUGGAGGCUCUUAUCGCUGACUAUGCGGAAUAAGUUUUGCUCGUUGUUGUAGGCCUACGGUGACCUUACGUUGUGUUCUUAUAUGUGUUUGGUGUAUUGUGGAGAUUUGUCUAAUUGGCAAUCAUACCACAUAUUCUUUUACAUAUAUAUGUGUAUAUAUAUAUAUAUUAACUAUUUUU
rnacentral:lncRNA from 1 species